AUUGAACGCUGGCGGCAUGCUUUACACAUGCAAGUCGAACGGUAACAGGCCUUCGGGUGCUGACGAGUGGCGAACGGGUGAGUAAUGCAUCGGAACGUGCCCAGAGGUGGGGGAUAACGCAGCGAAAGCUGUGCUAAAACCGCAUGUGAUCUGAGGAUGAAAGCGGGGGACCAGGCAGCAAUGUUUGGCCUCGCGCCUUUGGAGCGGCCGACGUCAGAUUAGGUAGUUGGUGGGGUAAAGGCCUACCAAGCCGACGAUCUGUAGCUGGUCUGAGAGGACGACCAGCCACACUGGGACUGAGACACGGCCCAGACUCCUACGGGAGGCAGCAGUGGGGAAUUUUGGACAAUGGGCGCAAGCCUGAUCCAGCAAUGCCGCGUGCGGGAAGAAGGCCUUCGGGUUGUAAACCGCUUUUGUACGGAACGAAAAGGCUCUGGCUAAUACCUGGGGCUGAUGACGGUACCGUAAGAAUAAGCACCGGCUAACUACGUG
rnacentral:rRNA from 1 species